CAGGUGCUACAGAAAUACUGACAGUGUCGGCAUCUGAAAGCGUGGAAGUUGGUCACCAACAAAUGGACGCAGUUCAAAGUGAAACAGAUCAGGUGAAUUUCUUCUCGAACAUUGGGAACAUUGGCAGGAUGGCAGGUCUUUUAUUGCUCACCAUAAUCAUAAUCCUCUGCUUUAUUUUCCGAAGGAUGUUCCUGAUGAAGGAGGCACUAAAACAUCACAACUCCAUAACUGCUGAGAAUGUUUAUGAGAGCAUCGCGAUGACAUAAUGCUGUUGAUCAAAAAUAAGACACCAGAUUUCUACAGUAUAAGGAACUUCUGGCUGCAGAAGUGGAUGCCUGACGUAUGUCUAACCUUCCCAUUUCUGGAGCCUCUGCUUAACUAGUUUCCAGUUAAGCAGGUAACAGGAGUCACUACAAAGAUCUCACAGAGAAGGGUGCAUUUGUUUCACAAAUUGCAAAAAGAACCUAAAGAUUAAUUAAUGUUUGCAUUUACACUUUCUUACUACCCAGAAGAGUUUUGGAUUGUCUGUACUUGCAGACACAAUGCCACCUACUGGCCCUACUGAGCAAUAACAAGCAAAUGUGAAAAACAAGUUUGUUAGGUAUAACAGCAAUAUUAUCUGAGUAUACACCUCUCAGCUAUAAUUUAAAAAACUUUUGCAUGACAUGGCUCAAAUGAACUGUGACACAGGUGUUUAGUGAUAUGAAAAAUAUGUACUGUACUAUAUGUUAUAUAAGCUUUUUAACCACUGAAUAAUGUAAAAAUGGAAGAUGAUUUGAGAAAGAACCUUUACAUGCCAAGACUAAUUGUUUAUGGUUUAUUUAUUUCUCUCUAAGUCGUGUCUCUGAGUCAUUUAAAAAGUCUUGUGUAUGCUCUGUUACACUGUAUUAGCAAACUGAAUAAAUGUAAUUACCUCUACCUCAUUAUAAAUCUCCUUUAAAUGCUUUUCUCUGGAAGCCAAAAGUUAUUAAA
ensembl:lncRNA